ensembl:lncRNA
UACGGCGUGGCUUCUGGGUUAGGUGCUGACGUCCGUCGGCUUUUCGGACGUGAGAGGAGCUGCGAGUUCAGCUGGUGGGCGACCCCACUGGUUUUCGCUGAAGUGGGCGGCGUCCGGAGUUACUUCAUAACUGGAUUAAGCGGAGAUAAAACGACUGGAUGGACCGCAUGUCGAGUGGCGAGAAAACUGCUAGAAGGUCGUCAGCAUUCGGUCUGUCGGAAGCGUCGCCGUGACGUUCGGUGUGUUUCUUGAAUUGCCGGAGGAAAAGCAGAGUAGUUUGAGUAGUUGUUCAUCUGAUGCGCUGACAGACGAGCGGACGAUUGUAGUGAAUGGAAGGGGCGGAAGGAUGAAAGAUGUGUUUUGAAAAUGCCACGUGACUACUGUCCUCCUCCCUCCUGGAUCAGUCUGCAUGUUCACAGCGCCAGCAUUUGUUAUGGAUUAUAUUGAGCAAACCUGGAGAUAUUAUUGUUGUCAUUGCUGUGGAUCUUUACUGACUUGGCUCGGGACCAGCACUCCUGCUGUUGGACAGAAAGACAUCAACUUGAGAUAUGACUGCACGAUGCUGUUGCUGGUGACUCCAGUUAAUUCUACAAGACAUGCUGUGACACCAGGAGAGAUGAGUCCUCCGUCACAGAUGGUGUGGUCAGUGAAGCUGGUCGCCUGCAGGUUCAAGCUCAUUGCAUCUCCAACCCACAUCCACUGCCACUGUACUUAAGGGAAGUUAAAGACUUUCUUCUGCACCUACAUUUGGAUCACCUCGAUCCAUGACAGUCAUUCAGGCAGUGAUGCCUGGACUGGAAACAAGCCAUCCUGAAAAUAAUACAACAUUCCAGCUCCUGUGUUGGAAUGAAAAACAAAUGUGUUGUUUAAAUUAGAGACUGCACUUGUGACAGAACAACAAAUAUUUUAUUUUGAUUAUAUAAGUAAUGUAAGUACAAAACAAACUUGUGGUAGGCCUAAACUUAUUUUCAGAAUAAUUACAUCUGAGACUUUGUUU